rnacentral:lncRNA from 1 species
ACAAACAAAUGAUAGAAAACAACCACAAAGUGCAACCAUGAAAUUAGUAUCCUCCAUUAUACUAAAAUGUUUAUCAACUCACAAGCAAAGACGCUCCAUGCACGAAGAGAAACUGCUCGCAGGAGGACUACAAUAUCCAUUAUACUAAAAUGUUUAUCGACAGCCAUGAUCCAACUGAAUUCAGAUAACUGAACUUAACAAUGUUGCUCGGCAAGACUCCUCAACGAGUGAAGGCAGGACUCCUCAAUGUGUAGAGGCACUCGCAGGAUAGCUGCUUUACAACAGAAAGAGAAUCACCGGAAGCACCAAGGAACUCCUUAGCCUGGACAAAUGCAGAGAAUCAACAGAAAGAGAAUCACCGGAUAGCCAUUGUAAAUGGUGCUUUACAACAUAAGGAUAUUUAUAUACAGGCAGUUUACCUUGCAGCAGAACCACUGAGCUUAUCUGCCUCCUCCAUACUGCAGAUGACUUCCUUUCGCUUGUCACCGGAAGCACCAAGGAACUCCUUAGCCUGGACAAAUGCAGAGUUAAUUGAUUCAGAGUUAGUGUUUUGCCUGAAUUCACAAAUGCAGUAGCAUCAGUUGAGAUAGCCUCGUCAAUUGAUGAAACCCCCUCCAUGGCCUAGGCUGCAAAAUUACCAAUUGAAAUCAUUCAAUUGAAAUUGUAUCGGUUAUAAUUUAUACACACACAACAACAUGCUUAUAACAAUAUUUAACUCUAGAACAUGUACAAUUAGCUAUCCAUAUAUUUACGAUCAGUUUUUAGUGAUACAUUUUUUUAUAAUAUUUACGAUCAAUUAAUUUGGCACAUGAUGGUAUGUCCUUAUACUGAGUUGAUUUCAACCAAAUUAGGAAAACAAUAUACAAUAAUAUCUUGGGCAGGGGACAAAAACAACCUACACUGAACAGCAAAAGCCAAAACUGAUCUGCAAAGGCAUUAUACUUUCUGCAUUUGUAAGCUCUUGUGCAUCAUAAACUAAAAGCUUGGGACAUAGUUGAAAUAGAGUCUAGUUAAUUAUCUUACAUAUCGAGCAGACUGAAACAGUAAUGAAAGUAGCACCAAGAGUAAGAGCUAUCAACAUUCAAACUAAAAUUAAUCUAAAAUAGACUCAAACAAUAAUUAAAGUAGCACCGAGAGCAGGUGAUGGCAGGUAGCUGCUUAAAUGGAGAGAUUAACCUGAAGCUUUCCUCCUAGAAAGAACCGCACCUAUUGGAUGACGUUACAGCAGAGAUCUGAGUUGGGCUACAGCUGGGCUACGGCUGCUGGGUCGAGAGGAAGACCUCCACGAUAGGGACAACGUCUCAACGAGGCCGCCUACAGGUAUCGCGUUGCCUCCUUGCGAGCGUCGCGCUGCCGCCUCCCAGCGAGCGCCACCUCCCUGUAAGCAGCACGGCGGUGCGGAUGCCUGAGAGAUUGAGACGUAGCCCUUUCACAUGAUCCACGGGCUUAUGCCCUUUC